rnacentral:rRNA from 1 species
UACGUAGGGACCAAGCGUUGUUCGGAUUUACUGGGCGUAAAGGGCGCGUAGGCGGCGCGGUAAGUCACUUGUGAAAUCUCUGAGCUUAACUCAGAACGGCCAAGUGAUACUGCAGUGCUAGAGUGUGGAAGGGGCAAUCGGAAUUCUUGGUGUAGCGGUGAAAUGCGCAGAUAUCAGGAGGAACACCAAUGGCGAAGGCAGCUCGCUGGGACGGUACUGACGCUGAGACGCGAAAGCGUGGGGAGCAAACAGG